CUUCGGAUGUCGAGGCAUAUUUUAGGUACCGGUUAGCUGUAGAUAAUGAAGAGACUGGAGAUUUGAAGGCUAUUGAGAAGGGACAUCAACUUUUGAAAUCCAAUCAUGUCCUGGCUUGCAGUGUUGUCAUUCAUCACCAUGCCUACUUCAGUGGUCUAGUCAGUGCUGCUAUGAAGAAAAAGGUAUCUUACAGUCUUCGCAUCAUAAUAGCAGAAUGUGGUGAAGUGGUGAACACACACUGUGAGUGCCCAGCUGGUAAAGGCCCCCAUGGAACCUGCAAACACCUCGCUUCCGUCCUCCUCAUGUUGUCACAGUUCAAGUCUACAGGUGUGAUUG